rnacentral:lncRNA from 1 species
AUGGCAGUUGUCAAGGACAAAAGACAGCAAGGUGUGCUGCAAGAAUGCAGUAGGAAUGAAUCAAAACGCUUGUUCACUAGUCACAAAUUCAAGGACAGGGAAGACAGGUGUCCUGAGCCAGGCCUACCACCCAGAGGAGAGGCCUCAUCGUCUGCAAAGCAGAAGGGAGCAUCCACAGCCCUUGCACCCCCUCGUGAACCCAAUCUCUGCUGCUUGCAGAAGACAAGCAGGGAUUGGUCUGGAUGGGCGACUGCAGCCGAGGCCGGGAUGCUGCUGGACAUUGAAGGCUUUGCCUGGAGAUAUCCGGCAGAGGAGGAAGGUGGACCCCAGGCUGGACAGGGCCUGUAGAGCAGACUGCUGAUGCCAACUGUCCCCAUCCUAGCACGACAACCUUGCUGAUGUUGUGCUGAAAUGUGACUUCCCGCUGAGAGCACACACACAGUCACACAGUCAGGUCGGCUGGCUCAGGACCCCAGGAGCAUCCGUCCCACACGGAUGCAAGGUCCGGCCCAGGACCCAGCACAUGGGCAGAGCUGCCCAGUGCCCCGGAUGUCUUCCUCCUGCAGGGGCCGAACAUCUACUUACCUUGCCCUCCUUUUGCAUCCCUCUCGCCUUGCAUUUCUCAUGUCCACUAUUUGGCUUUUCUUAAAAUGUUUGCUCUGAGAAUUCUUUAUGCAAGAAAGAGCACAGAGCUCUCAAGCUUCCCACUGACUUACCCUCAUCUCUGAGAUUCCUAGGUCUGAUGUGUCCCCCUCUGCCAGAUGCCCCUCCUGAAGACCAAGGAGACCCGAAGUCCUUCCACUGGUGGCCCACCUGUGCAAGCAAGCAGUGCCCAGCUGAAAAGGACUGGAGAAGCCACAUCCCCCAUGCUUCUCCAACACUGCACCCGGAGUCACUGAAGAAGCACUAGCAGGGAAGAAACAAUUGCAUUCCUAGUGGCAGUCAGCAGGAGGCAGAGGCUCUUCCAGCUUAAUGACUUGCAAAUCGAAAGCAUGAAAACCAGAAGGCACCUUUGAACCUCUCUCAUCCAGCCUGGAUGUCCUCAUAGUUUCCCCCACAGUGUUCCUGGUAUUUUUGCUACCAGAGCAAUAACCUUCCCCUUGCAUUCUUUUAAAUGUUGGAGGAGGAGCUGUCCAGUGAUCUCAAAGCAUAUGUUUUUGAUUCUCAUAAGAUUAUGGAUACCAAAGGAAUAAAAAUGGAAAUCACCACUGCCAAGAUAUGAAAGAAAGUUUGCAUAGUAAAAUAAUUUAAACCUAACAUUUGGACCCAA